rnacentral:rRNA from 2 species
UACGUAGGUGGCAAGCGUUGUCCGGAUUUACUGGGCGUAAAGAGCGCGCAGGCGGUCGAUUUAGUCGCGUGUGAAAGCCCCCGGCUCAACUGGGGAGGGUCACGCGAUACUGAUCGACUCGAAGGCAGGAGAGGGUAGUGGAAUUCCCGGUGUAGUGGUGAAAUGCGUAGAUAUCGGGAGGAACACCAGUGGCGAAGGCGACUACCUGGCCUGUUCUUGACGCUGAGGCGCGAAAGCUAGGGGAGCAAACGGG